CUCUUUGAGUAUGGUCUUUCAACCAGUUGUGCACCCACCUUAUAGUAAUGUCACUUCCCCAGUUUGCUUAUGAGAAUGUCAUGUGGGACUGUGUCAAAAGGCUUACCAAAAUCAAGAUAUAACACAUCACAGGAACA